ACAGUAAAGUAAUCUUCGCAUAGAUGCAGUCAUGUAUUCCACUUAGGUGACUCUCAAACUGUACCCUCUGGUGGUGGGGCUCAGAGUCUAUUUAAACAAGAACUGCAGGACUGAUUCCCAACAUUUGCAUCUGCUCUGGAUGCCACUGUAAUGGCAUAAUGGUUUGUAAACAUAUGUAUCAAUGAUCAUGUGGCAGCCCUGCAAAUCUUUAAUAUUGAGACAUCACUUAAGAACGCUAUGGGCUCAGACCUGUAUGUAGUGUGCAUUUCAUAUGCAGUCUUGACACAGGAAGUUAUCCACUUAGAGAUAGUCUGUGAGGAGACUACUUGUCCCUUCAUACAGUCUGCAUAUAAUAUAAAACAGAAGAGGCAAAGCCCAAAAGGGUUUAGUCCUGUGCGGGUAAAAGGCCACACAUCACCUGACAUGUCACGUGUGAAGGCACUGCUCCUCCAGGAAUAAAUGCGAUUUAGGAAAAAACACAAGUAAAUAUACUGCUUGGCUUAAAUGAAACCAAGAGACCAUUUGAGACACAAAUUUCGGUAGCUGCAACAUCACUUCAUCUUUGGAGAAUUCCACGUAAGAAGACUCCACCAUCAAAGACUGCAACUCACACACUCACAGAUGUUAUUGCUAUGAGGAAAGCAGUUUUUUGACAUAAGAGAGGAAGGGGCAGGAUGCCAGAGGCUUGAACAGAAGUCCCCUGAGACCUGCUAAGGCCAUGUUAAGGUCCCACAAGGGAACCAGUUCCCCUACCAGUGGAUGGAGACAAAGAAUUCCUUUCAAGGAUCUUGCCACUAUGGCAUUGAAAAACACCGAUCUUAUGUGAAGGGGUAGAUAAAAGGCUUUGAUCACCACUAGAUGCCCCACAACAAGCUAAAUGCAGGUCCCAACAACUGAAGAUGCAGCAAACAGUCCAUGAUGUCUUCAAUGCUAGCCAACAUCGGCUGAAUUCUGCAGGCCAAUGAUCACACAGUCAAUCAGCAGGAAUGCUCUCGAACUCGCACAGACUAUUAGGGCCCAAUGAACUCAAUUUUCUGAGUAGGAACCAAUGCUGACUUUCCUGUAUUGAGGAUGUGACCCAGUCAAGUAAGUGCAGAGUGAUGCAUAUGAGAGGAAGGAUUGGGCAUUGGUAAGGGGAUAGGGCGUUGGUGGCCAGUAGGCACCAGGCCAGGGGACCCCCAUCCCGACCGCGAGACGAGUACCAAUCCUGGUGCCUGUAGUUCCCCAUAAAUGGUCCCCAAUGUGGGUCGGGUGAUGAAGAACAGGAGAAAGAUCCUGACCUCAAUGCUGAAGUGGCUCAGAUUUCUGAAGAUAAAGGUUAAGCUAGUCCUGAGGUAGCAAGUAACCAACCUAACUCAUCUAUCACCCAAAACGAGGCAGGGAUCGGCACCAAUAAUGGAAGCAGUACCGCCAGCAUCAAGUACACCAAUGCCAGAAGUGGUGUUGACUCCAAAGUCAGCAGUGGUACUGAAAAAGCUGCCAGGGCCUAAGUGGACGGUAGUGAAAGCCACCACUGUAACAUCUGUGUUGCUGACUGCAAUAGUGACAAGGAGUUUCCUGGUGCCGAGUUCCUUGCACUGAGGCCGGUACUGGCCCUGCUUCCAUAGACUGUAGAAGGGAAACAUUGGGCUGUGGUGUUAACAGACACAAGGGUUCAGCAGCCUGUCCAGCCAAUGGCUAUCAACGAUGCAGCCCUUGCAAAGUCUUGGACCAAGGGAGAGGUUGGAACAAAAAGGCAGAGGAAGUCUGUAGCCCCUGGUAUGCCACUGAUGUGGAAACAGUUAGUGCCAGCCAUCAAUACCAGACUCAAAAGAUGCCCUGAGGCCAGGACCGGAGUCAACAUUACAGGGGUCUCUAACCUCCCAACUUGGUACCAGGGAGCAGUUAAGAGGCACCCGCACCAUCCUGUGCACCGGCACUAACCCCAGGCCAGUCCACGAUCUUCCUGGAGGAGACAGAGGAGACCCCACGAAACCCAGAGUGGUCUCAAUUGAUCUUAUGCAACCCUUCCCUCAAUGCAUUCAACAGGGAACAGCUCCUCCAUUUCUUUUGAGAGGUGUCUGCUCCAGAGUGCGAAGCAGCAGCAUUCUCGGAACCUGAGGGUGACCUCUGAUCUGACAAGGGAUCUGUGUGUCAAAGCAUGCUGCAGGGCCUGUUUGAGCAGGUGCUGUUUUAGGCAAAGAUCCCUAGCCACUUGAAUCCGUUUCUACAGACCAAAUCAUCUACAGACCAAACACCAUUCCUUGACAUGGGCUUCACUCAAGAACAGCAAGCACCAUGCGUGGUGAUCAUUGUUAGGAAUUGCUCCGCUACAUGACAACAAUGCUUAAACCCCAGAGAGGGCAUUACAGGGGAAUACUUAACUAAAUACAACUAACACUAAUCUAACCAACAUUAAGGAUACUACUAACUACAGACAACUAAAAACACCACUAAAAUAUGGAGAAGUUGUGAGAUUAAGACCACACAGACCUCUGACUCCAGCCCUGAGCAGUAAAAAAGAACUAAAGGGGGUUGGGGCAGUGCCACCUCAUAUAGCCAGGGAAGGGUUAUAGCCACAAGACACGAGCACCGCCCCACCACAGGUUCUGCAACGCAAAAUUGUCCAGCUCUGGUGUGCACACACCUAGAUGGAACACAUGGCUGAUCUACUCAAAGAACUGUUCUCGGUUUCAGCACUCAUGUGACCUGACAGAUGUACUGAUUUGAGAGAUUCAUUUUGGCCCCCAAUUCAGGAGUGUACAUGAGCCUGUUUAAAAAUUAAAUAUAUGCUUACAUGCUUUCUUGAACAGAGAUGCCUUUCUGAAUUGGGAACUUUAUCUACAAAGAAAUUUAAAUUGCUAAUUAAGUAUCAAACAAAGAGGUCUGGAUCCUAUUCUUGUUUCAAUUUCCAAUUAAGUAUCCAAGUAAAAUACUGCAGCUGUAAGCAUCUUUUCAACAUUCAGUAAAUUUAAUUAUGCUAAAUCAGGUACUAGUGGCAUAACUGUGUCCUAGCUCUUUCAGAUUAUCUAGUUUGCCCCUCAAAGCGCUGUGGGAAAAGGUAAACAUGGGACUACUCAAGGCAACUAUGUCUACAAUCCUUCACACUAACAUUUUUCUGCCAAUCCAGACAACAUCAGUUUGAAACAGAGGAAGUGUAGUGUAGUAAAGAUCGUGUAUUGAACAAAAGCACAGGCAAUCAUCCUGAGAAAAAAUUCUCCUACUUCAGAGAAUGGCAAAAUAUGGGGGUAGGGAAGAGUGGAAAAGUCUAGGGAGUCCUGCUAUCCCACAUCAAAUUUAAACUUCUGAUAUUAGUACAUACUGGUUGCUAAGAAAAACAGAGAAAAAUUAUUCAUUUAAACAGAUCACAUGACUGCCACAAGCUUUUCUUUGUGAAUUACUAUGGGACCUAACAAACAAGAUCUGCAAGUUUCUAAAUCCUUGCAAAGCCAUUACGGUGUAAAGGGGUUAUCAGGCAUUAGCUUGCAUCAAGUUGUGUUCAGACUAAGCCCUCUCCUGACAAUUGUUCCAAUAUCUCAAGGGAGCUGAGUAACUGAGUGUUGUGAAUGUACUACUGUAUCAUUCAGACUGUCCUAAAUACAGCUUUGGCAUUUCUUUACAUGUUCCAUUCUUAAAGAGUACUGAGUGAAGACAUCAAUAACGUCACACACAGCAAGAUUUUCUAGUUUUUCUUUCACUUGCUACCAUCAAUCUAUUCAGAAGAUAUUUGACAGAGGACUACAUACGCUGCAAUAUGUAGGUAUAAAUGUUAAAAUUUCCCACUAGAGAGACAAGGUUAAUGAAGUAGUAUCUUUUGUUAGAUCAACUUCUGUUGGGAAAGACAAGCUUACACCACAGCAGCUGUCUUUCUAAUAUCCUGGGACCAAUACUGCAAAAAAAAAAAAAAAAAAAAAAAAAAAAAAAAAAAACAUUCCCACAAGUACGUUCCAGCUAAAAGUUAGCACGUUUCUUAAAAUCAUCAGGCACCUUUCCUUACUCCAUUAGGUUACCGUUUUUGAAUCUUUGUUCCUGAACUACACCUCUUCACUCUAUUCGUUGGUAGGGAAAAAAAAACCCUUUCUCUAUCAUUUUGGAAUGGCUACAUUUGGAGAACAAUUCUGCUCCAUAUUUCCUUUGGAAACAUGAACCCGAAAACAUUACAAAAAGCCCCAUAUUUCUAAAUUCCCACAUGACAAAUGAACAACAGAUACAGAUAUGAGAGAGGAGAGACAAAGACAUUCAGUUACAAAAUAACAUACAUAGUACAUAGACAAAACCAACAGGUUCUUAGUGUAAUAUAAUGCCAAAGAAGAUGCUUUGUCAAUUUAUAACUUGCUAAAGUAAUGAAACAAUAGGCAGCAGCAGAUGAAUCAUUCCUCUUGAGACCUGAAUACAUUAUAAAUAUUUACAAUCUAGUUACCUGUCAUGUACCGACAACCAUCGUUGCACAUUGAUUUGGAAGCAGGCUGACAUUAUGGAGACAGUAAACAGCAUUGGAGAAGACAUGCUUGUUCCAAGUCUCUCUUAUCAGGCUUUUAUUUUCCUAAACUGCUACCCUUAGCUAAUAUUUCCUCAAACUUGGUCUUACUCAGCAGAGGACUGCAAAACAAAAUCUAAUUUAAUCUGUUCAGUCUUUUCUGAGUUAUUUGAGUGUGAAAAGAAUGGUUACUUAACCUUAUAGUAACUGUGGUUCUUUGAGAUGUUGUUGCCUAUGCAAAUCAUACUCUAGGUGCUCACAUGCCCCAUGAGUGCAGCAAAAUCAGAAUAUUCUGAAGAGAAAUGUGUGUUGGGCCCCAUCCACACUGUGCAUGUGCCUCCCUAGAUAUGAAGUUCCUCAGCAAUCCCUCAACUCCCUCACUAUUUCAGAAUCCCAGAUAAGAAAGACUGUGGGAAAGCAGAGAUGGACAGCACAUUAUGGGAUCCACACAAACAACAUAUCAAAAACCAGUUACUAUAAUGUAAGCAUUUUUUGCUUCAAGUAUGUGUCUGUGUGGAUCCCACUCUAGGUGGGAUUGAGGAGUUCUGUCACUUAACUAAAACAACUGACGCUGCUCUAUCAAAUUUGGUAUCUGAUCUAGCAGCCAGGUGAAGUGCAUAGCUUUAAUGAAAUUAAGAGGAUUAACUCUACGUUGCUGCCUUCAAAAUUUCAGACACAAAUCGUAAAGCAUGGAGAGGAUGCAGCUUGUGCUCUAGUGGAGUGAGCUCUAAUAUAUGAAGGAAUUGGUAUACAAGCCAUACUAUCCUAUAAUAGCAGACAGAUAUACACUGCACAAUCCAUUUUGAAAUUCUCUUGAGAGGAGAUGGCAAAAAAAAGAAGGGCGGAGGUGGGGGGGAAGACAGCCUAAAAGGGUUUGUUCUGUCAAGUUAGUAUAUUAUAAGGCCCUCCCAAAGUAUGGAAUUCUCUCUCCCUCUGAAAGGUAAGGAGUCUUAGGGGGAGGAGGGGAAUGGAUAAAUUAAGUCAAAUGAAAGUCUGACACAACUUUGGGAAUCAACUUGGGAUGAAGUUUUUAUACCAUCAUAUCUCUGUGAAUGGAUGUGUAAGAAGGGUUAACCUUGAAAGCUUGGAGUUCAGUUCCAACUGAUGUCAUGGUGACUAAAAUGGCCAUCUCGAGUACAAGAGUAAAGAUCAUUCAGAAAGAGGCUCAAAGGGAGGGGCUCCAUCAGGUUUGUAAGGAUAAUGUUGAGAUCCCCACACUGGAGUGGUUUCUCUCACUGGUGAAUAAGGGCUGGUCUACACUGACAAGUUACAUGGGCUACAUCUCUCAGGGGUGUGAAAAAUUCAUAACCCGAAGAUGCAGUUAAAUCAACCUAAUCCCUGAUGUAGACAGUGCCAGGUCAACAGAAGAAUUCUUCUAUUUAUCCAAUUCUAGCUAUCACCUCUCAGAUACAUGGAUUACCAACAGCAAUAGGAGAACCCCUCCCAUUAGUGUAGUAAGGGCCUACACUGAAGCGCUAUGACCAGAAUGUGCGGACUGCACAUUCAAAUUAAUGGUCCUCUGUAUUAAUUUGAAUUUACAGUCACAUUUGUUUGACUAUACAUUAACAAUUAAUGCUCUGCUUCCUUGCUUUUAAAAAUACAGGGGAUAAAGGGAAAACAACUAUAUUAAUGCAACAUUAAGACUUAAAACACACACAUCAGUCAAUUAAAAUAUUCCCACAGUAACUAACUUCGCAUCCUUGCAUAAACCUAACAUUUUUUGUACUUCAUAUAGUUAAUUUGCCUUAACUUAAUAUUUUUGCAAUGUAGCAUAAUUAGAAGCGUAAAACUUUUCAAUUUACUGGCUUCUUAUUCAUUUAAGUAUCACCCAUAACUUUGCUUUAAGAAUUUAAAAAGAGGUAGAUAAUUUUUUUUUUAAAUCUACAUUCUGGCUUUAUUUAAAAAUACAGUGCAAUGUGAAGUUUUUGUAGCAGAAUUUGUCUCUAAUGUUUUUAUUAAAUUAGCAGUAACAGCCAGGGGUAUCGCUGAUUUUUGACUUAUUACCUUAUACAUCUUAUUUCAGGAACUUCAAAUAUUUAGCCCUUAACAUUUGUAAAUCAGUAAGUUACCAAGUGUUAGUGGAAAUACUGUUCUGCAACCAUGAUGUUGUGCUAAUACUGUACACACAUUUAAAAAGGCUAUCACAGUGAAGGCAUGCUACUUUAACAAGUUAAAUUACAGUGGUGGCUUUAAUGUGAACAUAAAUUAAUACAUGUUAAAAGCAGUGAGCCUUAUAUACACUAGUCUUUUCAAAUAUGCUAGCAUGCGUUAGUUAAAACAUGCUAACAUUGCAGCUUUAAAUCCUAAUCCAGACAAGUCCCAUAUCUCGUUGUGAUUUAGUCUACCUUUGCUGUUUCAGAGGGCCAGUCAGUUUGGUAUAAUCAGUACAACUUCUAGAGCAGUCAAAAGCUGGGGAAAAUGGCUUUACAUUCCAGUGCUCUCUUAUAUAAUUAAUAAUAACAGUCAUAAUAAUAUAUGCUUAUGUUUAUACACACACAUCCCUUAAUAUCCCACUUAGAUUAGCAAUAAUACAAUAUUUACAAACUCAAAGAGGAUGCCCUUACUAAAAGUCUGGAGCUACGCUGUUGCUCCUUUGAAGCUGGAGAUUUUGUUGGAUUGUUUCCAACUUCCAAAUACUCAAGGUACUGCAAGAAAACUAGAAAGAGUACUGUGCCAGCAAACCAGAGUUCUGCUUCUCAGAGGGUUGCAAGGUAAGAUUGCAACUUCUCCUUCUGAGCUCUGAUAGCUCAAAACAAUAUCUUUAAGCAGAUCUUACAUCUGUGGCUUUCUUUAUAGCGAAACAGGUCCCACCUCAUAACUGUCCACAUUGAACAUCUCUUUUUCAACUCUUGAAGCUUCUGGAUCACAUUCUGAUUUCCUACAUACAGUAGAGAACAUUUUAAACACUAGGCCCACUAAGGCUUAAUACUGUACUAAAAAUUAUAACAGAAAACCUAAUAAACUAUAAAAGGACAAUUUGGAUAAAACAAUCCAUGAAUUACUCAAAGAGCUUUUCAGGCUCAAAAAGCAGCCCUCCACGGCUAAUUUGUGCAAGAGAAAAUGAACUAGUGGGUAUGCACUAGCACAUUUCAAGAACCUGAUAGUCAUGAAUUCACAUGCAUACAAGAUGUUUCUUAAGAUGGAAGUUUAUGGAUAAUAUAUACAACCCACAUUUGCAAAAUGUUUUGAAUUCUAAUGGCAAAUUAGAACAUUUGAGACAGAUUUAUUUCUCUUGUAAACUAAUCUCCUUACAAGAAAAGAUUCUCUCACUGCCAACAGACAGGAUUUUUUUUUUAAGUGACAUUUUGGUAAAGUAUUUUACAUGAUCAAUAAAAUGAGACUAUUUUCUUUUAAAAUAUUUACUUUUUGUUAAAAACCAAACAAAACAAUAAAUCCAUACUGUAAGGCUAAAAAUACUUGAAAUCUUAUGCCUCAGCAAAUCAAAGGUGUGUUUGUAUUAGCUGACAACCCAUGUGUUCUAGCUUAUAUACCGCAUAAGGUGUUAACUUUGCACAUAUACUAAAGUUUUAAUCAGAGUUGUAAUUAUUAUGAGAACCAUAACUUACAAGUUCCUGACAUGUGUGUGUGUAAAAUAAUCACAAAGUUGCUCUAGCAGUUUUUAGAAGUUCCUUCUUUUAAUAAAUAUAUUUUAAAAAGAGGAGAGACAAGGACACACAUGAUCACGGUAUUCUAUAGUCAAAUAAAUGUAGUCAUUACAUUACAUACUCACAUUUUUCACACACUAGGACUUUACGUCCUUUACACAGAACACACUGUGCUUGAAAGUAUAAAUUCUGAAAACAGCAGUGUAGACAGUCUUAGCAGAAAUAUCUGCAAGUUUGUUCCAUCCUUUACAAUGCCAUUUUAAAAUAUAGGGGUAAGAAGACAGACAGCAUCAGAUGUAGUUUCUCAAGGCUGGCAAGCCCUUUGUUACAUUCUCUGCAUCAGUUUCAGUUUUGCACUUUCAGCUGAGCACAGUAAAUUAAGUUGAUGUCCUAGACUAGAGCAUAUGAAAUCUGACCUGAGUGUGUCACCAAUGACAUGAUCUAACUCAACAGCUCUCAAACUGUGGAUCGGGACGCUAAAGUGGGUCACAACCCUGUUUUAAUGGGGUCACCAGGGCUGGCAUUAGACUUGUCAGGGCCCGGGGCCAAAACCCGAGCCCCACCACCCGGGAUCAAAACCAAAGCCCGAGGUCUUCAGCCCUGGUUGGCGGGGCUCAGAUUACAGGCCCCUUGCCUGAGGCAGAAGCUCUUGGGCUUCAGUUUAGGCCCCACCCAGCUUUGGAAUCGGCCCUCCCGCCCAGGGCAGCCCGGCUCGGGUGGGCUCAGGCUUUAGUCCCCUCUCCUGCAGUCAUGUAGUAAUUUUUGUUGUCAGAAGGGGAUCAUGAUGUAAUGAAGUUUGAGAACCCUGGAUCUAAUUCAUAAUAUAUCAAUGGUUGGGGAGUAAGAGUGGUCAUAAGAAACAGAAAGACUAUUUCGAGGGUAGGAAAGGCUGGCUAGGGUUUGUGGAGGUGCUGAACAGCUGAUUGGUCUGUCCUAUCUUAAACUAUAUUUGAUAAUACGUUACUUCACAGGUGGUACAAUUUGUACAUAUCUGGAAUUUUCCCAUUUCUCUGCUUUGUUAAAAAUGAGUAAUUUUCCAGUUACUUAUAAACCUUGUUUCUACAAAUAUUUUCACAAAUACAUCAACCAUACAGAGUUUUAAAAAUAAAUCUUUAAAAAAAAAAUCUAAAUGCAAAAACAGCAUACAAGAAAUAACUGCUACAAAACAUUUUUUCACUGUUAAAAAAAAAAAAAAAAAACACACCACAGCUAAAAAUAUUUGUUUAAAACUUACAUAUAUAAAAAAUACCCCAAAACCCAACAUCUUGUCUUUAGGCUGACAAUAAGAUGAGAAAAUUCAAAAUAAAAAGUUAAGUGCCUGAAAAAUAUGUGGCUUAUAAUGAAAGGGUCUUCAAAUUCCUAAUUAUGGGAAUACUGUAAUUAUGUGAUUGGAAAA